CGCCCCUCCUGCUCCCGGCUUUCAUGUGGAUCAAGGCUGGAGGAUGACAAGCUCCUGACUGAUAGAUACAUGGAGACUUCGCUGGUGAUUUAUUGGCUUUCUGCACCUGACGAGAACCACUAGGCCUAUCUGAGGAGGGAAAUAUAUGGGCUUUCCUGACUCCAAGUGGCAGCCCCGGGGCGAGCAUGUGAUGUCAAGCUGGGCAGAGGAAAGCGGAGCUGUGCACCGGCCUGUGUACUGUAAGCCGGCCCGGGUCGUAAAAGUGUCAGCACGCGAUAUAUUUCUUGCAGGGGAUCCUCUCUGGCUCUUGCCAGCGCCUCUCCCCCGUGGCUGGCAGCCGCCCUAGCCGGGCCUGCAAACAGCGGAUGCCCCAGGUCGCUAUCCCUCCGCCCUGCCCCGGAGCGCCGGGCCCUCACGUUCUCGCUCCAGCCUGGGGUCUCUCACGUGGCAUCUGGCCCUGGGGACGGUGCAGCGGAGGAGUUAAUUGCUGUCACUCCUGACUUCAGCGAAAGAGGUCGAUCGUGGGGUGAGAUAUUGAAGCUGGGGAUUGACCUGUGGACCAAGAGUUUGAUGGGGCAACUCAAUAGCAAACUCAAUGUUCCCAGAGAUGAACCAAGCUUCUUCCUCGGGGUUAGCAGGGGCCUGGAGUGGAUGUUUAGUCUACCGGUCAGACUCCAGGUCUUAUAUCUUGAAACUGUAAGUCCCUGAAUUCACAGACAAUUCAGAGUAAGGAUGGAGGCAAAGAAGAGGACCUUGGGUUUACUGUUCACGAGAUGACCUCAUAAAGGUGUUCAGUGAUGAAGAGGAGUGGCUGAAGAGAUGGCUGUCUAGAGUCAACACAAACCUACCCCAAAGUUUGACCUUUGCCUUAAGUCAGUAACUGAGGAGGGCCACGGUCCUGAGUUCAGUCCAGACCCCAGGAAGAUUCAGAGCCUGCAGUUGUCCUCUGGUUUCUAAAGUAUGUUAUUGGGCUAAAGAUUUCAAGACAUUUAUCCUUCUUUGCUUUCUAUCGCAGCCAUUAAAUGUUUUAGAUAUUUUCUGCCAGAAGGCAGGAAUCAUGAAGAUAACAAAUAUUAAAGACAAAACCAAAUAACUUUUAAUGAGAAGGUCAGUCCGUGGUUUGAGUCUUUGGAAAGAAAUCAAGAACUCUGACUAUACUUGCUAUUUGACCAUUGAUUCUCUAGUGGAAAUGGGCAAAUCUUUUAUACCAGGGCAAAUUUUUCAGUAACGGGCCAGACAGCAAAUAUUUUAGGAAUUGUGGGCCAUACAGUCUCUCUCCCAACUACUUAACUCUUCAGCAUAGCAUAAAAGCAGCCAUAAACAAUACUACAACAAGUAUGGCUGCAUUCCAAUAAAACUUUAUUUACAAAAAUAGGCAGCACGCCAGAUUUGGCCCACAAGCUAUAGCUUUCUGACCCCUGCUUUGCCAAACUCAAUAACAAACAGAGAGGGAGACUCUUUUAAAAAAAUUAUAUUCAUUUGGGAGUAGCAUUGCAAUGGGAAUACGUGUGCCAUAGCAAAUUAUGAGCGUAUUCAAAGAGAUUGGGGCAAGGGGAAGUUUAUAAAGGCAAAACGAAGAGGAUUACAAUUGUUCAAAUCAAUUAUCCUUGGCUACAAGGGUGGCACAAGUCCAAGCUUGAACAGGCAGUUGCUAGACAGACAUCCUUACAGAAGUAUUUUCUGUGUAAGGUUGCAGUGGUCUUUUUGCAAAGCUAUAGUAAAUCACAGGGGUCAGUACAACCGUAGUGCAAUGGAUAAGCCUUGCCCUCGGAAAAUCUUCGUGAUCAUGGUAUCUCCCCUGCCAAAUAAAUAUUGUGACAGUUCUUAUCAGGCAUUCAUGUGUAAGAACUCUCCCUUGAUGGCCUUCCCUGGCUCCAUUUGCCAGGGUUUUAACAUAAAUUACUCCAUUUUGAUUCGGACAACUUUCAUAACUGCUUACCAUCUGUGCCUCUGUGUAUAAAAGUGGACAUACUAAAAUUUUUCCUUAGGGCUACAACUAAACAUCCAGCCUAGCCCUUAGCCAGCACCAAGGAAGAGGCCUGGGGGAUAGAGGAACAAAUAAUGAGACCAAGUCAGGCCAUCCCCCAUGGGGUGAGGCCUGCAGGUAGGUGGGCCCAGUGUGGUGUACCUCUAGCACAGUGCCUGGCACAAAAUUGCAGUUUAUUUUCUGAAUAAAUAACUCUUGGAUCAAUUGGUUGCUCUCUGGGAAUGUGACUUUGCUGUUGAGUUGUGCAGAGUACUCUCUGUCUCCAAGCCAAUCCCAGCUUCAGUAUCUCACCCCACAAUCCACAUUUCCCAGUGUCUGGAGUAACAACAAUGACCUGGGGCUGGGCUCUCAGCAAGUCAAACCCUGCCUCAACAAACCCAAACUGCUUUGGGGACCAAUGUGAUGCAAAUGUGUACUGAAUCCCCUGAAUUCCCCCUGGUGAUCCUGUCCUGUAACAGGCCCUCCCCAUCCCCUCAGGCCAGUGCAUUCAGGAAAUCAGUGACCACAGGAUGGUUUCUCAGCUGGAGGGAAGGUCAGCCUGCAUCUGAGCAUCUUAGAACAUGUUAUUUUGUUCCCACUGGUCAAUCCCGUCCAAGCUGUACACAUAGUGCCUAAGCCACGUUUGUUACUGCAGGCCUGUCUUCGGAAAGGUCACUGAACAGAAGGAGGAGGCACCUUACUCUCUUUUGUUACGUCUUCACCACUUUUGUCUAAAGGGAAGUUUAGCUGGAGGGCUGAGCACGCAGACAGGUUUCUGACUGUGCCACAUAGAUCCCACAUUGCUUCUCUGCCAUGAUUUAUCAUCUGUGACUUGACAUGUUCUGCACACACGGGCAUGUUGUACACAUUGAGACAUGCUUCCUGCAUUCAAAGAUUUUCCCAUAUUGAGGGCAUUUUCCUGGUGCAGAAUUGAAGACUGAAUUGAGGCAUUCAGAUUGACCUCAACAUCUACGGGUCUGGAGGAGGUUUGGGACGUUUCCUUUUCUUCUCUUCAGGGGCCCACUCCUGUUGUAAAGAGCAGCAGCAUUUAUAAUGAGGGCCCAGGAAAUGCGGGGGAGAGGGGAGAGCCUGCUAUCUCUGCAGUGGGUGACUGUUGUUUCCCUGAUCAACAAUGUAUCAUAUCCCAGCCUAAGCCUGCCUUUCUCCUUCCCCCUCCACAUGGGGAGGGGCCGUGGGCUCAGAGCUCACCUGGAAUGCCUCUGGUUGCUGAAGGGCUGGAUGGAGACUCUGAGACAACCUGAUGGAUCAUCUCAUAAACAGAGCCUGCAGGAAGGAAAAGAAAAUUAUGCCAGCAUAAUGCACUUACGAGAAAUAGAUACGUGCGGUGCAGGGAGAAAUGCUUUGAUAUUAAAAUUUUUGUAACUUAAAAAGGCAUGAAAAAUGAUACCGACCACUAACUAAUCAACAUUCCUUUGCGAAUACAGCUUCAGUUCCUAACCAAAAACACAUCCCUGCUAUUGUCUUGUCUGGAUCCAGAUGCAAACAUGAUUAAUUAAGUUUCUGGUGAGGAGUGGGACGAGGGCAGUGGGAACUGAUGGCUUGCUGAGGAUCCUUUUCAUAUACAGGCCUGGGGAGAAUCCCUUAGUCUGGGUGCCUAUUUCCCUCCACAUGUCAGGGCUUACCCCGUGCACUGACAGCCACGGGGGCAGUGAGUAGGCUGCAGCCAGACCCAUGGAGUGAGGCAGUGAGAGGCUGAAAGGAGAGGCUCUACAGACAGUACAGGGAGGCUCUUGGUAUCUCCCAUUGCCACUGCACAGCACAGCACGGCAGAGUAGCAAACGCAUAUGCCAUGUCUUGUUGGGAGACCUGGGCCCUGCUCCAGACUGCUACCAAGUAGUUUGGGACCUUGGAUGAGCUGCCUCAAUUUCUCCAUUUGUGAAAUUGGGAGGUGACAGCGUGCUGGCAGCCCUCGCAGCCCUCGCUCUCGGCCUUGGUGCCUGCCUACUCUGGCCGCCCUUGAGGAGCCCUUCGGCCCACGGCUGCACUGUGGGAGCCCCUUUCUGGGCUGGCCAAGGCUGGAGCCAGCUCCCUCAGCUUGCCGGGAGGUGUGGAGGGAGAAGCGCGGGCAGGAACCAGGGCUGCUCAUGGGGCUUGCCGGCCAGCGCGAGUUCUGGGUGGGCAUGGGCUCAGUGCCUGCGCACUCUGAGCGGCCGGCAGGCCUGCGAACCCCGGGCAGUGAGGGGCUUAGCUCCUGGGCCAGCAGCUGCUGUGCUCAAUUUCUCGCCGGGCCUUAGCUGCCUCCCCGCGGGGCAGGGCUCGGGACCUGCAGCCCACCAUGCCUGAGCCUCCUCCCGCCGUGGGCUCCUGUGUGGCUGGAGCCUCCCCGAGGAGCACCGCCCCCUGCUCCACCGCUCCCAGUCCCUCAACCACCCAAGGGCUGAGGAGUGCGGGCGCAUGGCACGGGACUGGCAGGCAGCUCCACCUGCGGCACCGGUACCGGAUCCACUGGGUGAAGCCAGCUGGGCUCCUGAGUCUGGUGGGGACUUGGAGAACCUUGGUGUAGACACUCUGUAUCUAGCUAAUCUAGUGGGGAUGUGGAGAACUUUUGUGUCUAGCUAAGGGAUUGUAAAUACACCAGUCGGCACUCUGUAUCUAGCUCAAGGUUUGUAAACACACCAAUCAGCACCCUGUGUCUAGCUCAGGGUUUGUGAAUGCACCAAUGGACACUCUGUAUCUGGCUACUCUGAUGGGGACUAGGAGAACCUUUGUGUCUAGCUCAGGGAUUGUAAACGCACCAAUCAGCACCCUGUCAAAACGGACCAUUCAGCUCUCUGUAAAACAGACCAAUCGGCUCUCUGUAAAAUGGACCAAUCAGCAGGAUGUGGGUGGGGCCAGAUAAGAGAAUAAAAGCAGGCUGCCCCAGCCAGCAGGCACAACCCUCUCGCCUCACCUGCCGCAGUGUGGAAGUUUUGUUCUUUGGCUCUUUGCAAAAAAUGUUGCUGCUGUUCACUCAUUGGGUCUACACUACCUUUAUGAGCUGUAACACUCACUGGGAAGGUCUGCAGCUUCACUCCUGAAGCCAGCGAGACCACGAACCCACCGGGAGGAACAAACAAUUCCAGACGCGCCGCCUUAAGAGCUGUAGCAGUCACGGCCGGGCACGGUGGCUCACGCCUGUAAUCCCAGCACUUUGGGAGGCCGAGACGGGCGGAUCACGAGGUCAGGAGAUCGAGACCAUCCUGGCUAACACGGUGAAACCCCGUCUCUACUAAAAAUACAAAAAAAAUUAGCUGGGCAUGGUGGCGCACGCCUGUAGUCCCAGCUACACGGGAGGCUGAGGCAGGAGAAUGGCGUGAACCCGGGAGGCGGAGCUUGCAGUGAGUCGAGAUCGCGCCACUGCACUUCAGCCUGGGCGACAGAGCGAAACUCCGUCUCAAAAAAAAAAAAAAAAAAGAGCUGUAGCAGUCACAGCAAAGGUAUGCAGCUUCACUCCUGAGUCAGCGAGACCAGGAACCCACCACAAGGAAGAAACUCCGAACACAUCCGAACAUCAGAAGGAACAAAUUCUGGACACGCUGCCUUUAAGAACUGUAACACUCAGCGCGAGGGUCCCCUGCUUCAUUCUUGAAGUCAGUGAGACCAAGAACCCACCAAUUCCAGACACAAAAGGAGAGGUUGGAUUAAAUGUUCCUCAAAGUCUUCCAUUUCUGGCUUUUUAUUCCAGUGCCCAAAGUCCUUCACACAAAGCA
rnacentral:lncRNA from 10 species